GACCUAGUGGUGAACGGUUCACACCUGCCCUUCCUAACCAGAGAUCCGUUAGAGUAGGGUUGCAGGAGUCCUCGGUUCGAUUCCGGGUUAGGUCA